rnacentral:tRNA from 1 species
GCCUCUGUAGCUCAGUCGGUAGAGCAAGGGACUGAAAAUCCCUGUGUCGAUGGUUCGAUUCCGUCCGGAGGCACCA